rnacentral:tRNA from 15 species
GGGCGAUUAGUGUUAAUGGUAGCACGUCUGUUUUGCAAGCAGAUAGAGGGGGUUCGAGUCCCCCAUUGUCCAC